rnacentral:rRNA from 1 species
GAUGAACGCUGGCGGCGUGCUUAACACAUGCAAGUCGAACGGAGAGCCAAUGACGGAGUUUUCGGACAACGGAUUUGGUUUCUUAGUGGCGGACGGGUGAGUAACGCGUGAGCAACCUGCCUUGGAGUGGGGAAUAACAGCUGGAAACAGUUGCUAAUACCGCAUAAUGCAGCGAGGGGACAUCCUCUUGCUGCCAAAGAUUUAUCGCUCUGAGAUGGACUCGCGUCUGAUUAGCUAGUUGGCGGGGUAACGGCCCACCAAGGCGACGAUCAGUAGCCGGACUGAGAGGUUGACCGGCCACAUUGGGACUGAGAUACGGCCCAGACUCCUACGGGAGGCAGCAGUGGGGAAUAUUGGGCAAUGGGCGAAAGCCUGACCCAGCAACGCCGCGUGAAGGAAGAAGGCCCUCGGGUUGUAAACUUCUUUUAUCAGGGACGAAACAAAUGACGGUACCUGAUGAAUAAGCCACGGCUAACUACGUGCCAGCAGCCGCGGUAAUACGUAGGUGGCAAGCGUUAUCCGGAUUUACUGGGUGUAAAGGGCGUGUAGGCGGGCCUGCAAGUCAGGUGUGAAAUUCCAGGGCUCAACCCUGGAACUGCACUUGAAACUGUGGGUCUUGAGUGAUGGAGAGGCAGGCGGAAUUCCGUGUGUAGCGGUGAAGUGCGUAGAUAUACGGAGGAACACCAGUGGCGAAGGCGGCCUGCUGGACAUUAACUGACGCUGAGGCGCGAAAGCGUGGGGAGCAAACAGG